AAGCACCGGCACCAUUUCAAAAGUACCGGUUUGGCACCGGUAUCAGAUAAAACCUAAACGAUACUGUUACGUGUCUGCAGGCUGCAUGUUUUCUUUCCCUCCCCUUUUUGUUUCCCAUUCCCUUAGGUCACGGACUGCAGGCUGAUGCCAAUCUGGGGAUGUCCAACUAAUUAGAGGAGGGAGACCCUGAUUGGACAAACCAGGAGUGCACACCUUGAUAAGGAGACUCACCUGUGGCUGGGCGCGGCUCUCUUCCCUCUUUUGAAUUGUUUGGCUCAUGUGUAAAGCUCCUCUGCUGUGUUUCUUUUGUUUGAUGGUUGUGGUGGGAGUAAAAGUGGACUAGGUAAGUUUGGGGACCCCAUACACUUACUCACGUAGGGACUCUUUGUUAGAAACACUAGGUAAGUAGGUUGGUGCCACCCUUGUAAUUUUGAGCUUGGUUUGAGUUGUGGUUUAGGGACUUUCUGUUUUUGUUUUUUCUAGGAUAGUAGCUCAGCUAUGUUUUGGUUUUGUCUUUUUGGUGUUUUUUUUGGCACAACCUAACGGUCCCUUUCUCCCCCACAUUUGUUGUUUAACUUUGGGUUAUUUAUUUUGUGAGAGCGCUGCCAUUAAAUCUUUUUCUUAACACCUUUA